rnacentral:rRNA from 1 species
GAUUUAAUUUAACGGCCGCGGUAUCUUGACCGUGCAAAGGUAGCAAAUAAAUUGUUCUCUAAAUAGGGACUAGUAUGAACGGCACCACGAGGGUUUAACUGUCUCCCUACUUUAAUUAAUAAAAUUGAUUUUUCCGUGAAGAAGCGGAAAUGUAAAUAUAAGACGAAAAGACCCCAUGGAGCUUUAAACUUGUCACCAGUUAUCAAAUUUAAAACACAUAUCUUGAUAAACAUGAUACUGACAGUUUUCGGUUGGGGUGACCCUGGAGAAUAAUAGAUCCUCCAAGCUGAAUAGAUUUAGUUUAACUCUAAUGCUAGAAUAACAACUCAAACAAUCAAAACCUUGACAAAAUGACCCAGAAUAUAUCUGAUCAACGAACCAAGUUACCCUGGGGAUAACAGCGCAAUCCAUUUCAAGAGCCCUUAUCGACAAAUGGGUUUACGACCUCGAUGUUGGAUCGGNANAUCCUANCAACGCANCCGCUGCUUAGGGUUCGUUUGU